AUGAUCCGCCUACCUCAGCCUACCAAAGUGCUGGGAUUAUAGGCGUGAGCCACCGUGCCUGGCUGAGGGAAAACAUUUCUCUGGACUUAAUCGGGCCCUCAAGAAUAUUUAAAAUAGUAGCAGAGAAAUUUCUAUCAAUCCAAUGUCUCAGUGACCAACUCUACACAUCCAGGCUUCUUAUAUGAAAUGGGAUGGGGGGGUGUUGCUGAUGUUAGAGGGGGUCGUGGACCCCAAGGACAAUCAUUGAGUCAGAACCAACAAAUGUUUGAGCAACCCUCAGGUUCUAGGCCUUUUUAAAGAUAUUAUUUCAUGAAAUUCAACAACUGUGUGAAAUAAAUGUUGCACCCAUUUUACAGAUUCAGAAAAGUUUGAGGAAGAUUAAGUGAUCUGAUAAAGGUGGAAGAUCAAAGUAUUCCAAAGCGCCUGUUUUUCAACUGCAAAUACUCUACUGUUUUGACUCCACCGUGGCUAACUAUUAUACCGGAAAUUUCUGGUGGCAAAAGGAUAGGGAGUGUCUGAGAAGUGAGGUCAUAACUUUGACACAUCUUCAAAACGUUUUAGGAUAACAAACUGACAGAGAGCAGGGUUGGUUUAACUUUUGGUUUUGCAAAGGGACAUGAAAACAGGCACUCUAGACUGUGGUGCCUUGAAUCUCGGGUCCACUGUGCACUCACGAUGAGACUCUGAACGAGGCCCUUCACCCUCCUUUGCUCCAUCUCCUUGUCUUUAGGAUGGGAGUGAAAACACCUACUUACCAGCUGGAGAGGUUGAGGGUCAAUAGGAUAGUCUAUGUGAUGUGCUCAGUUCAUGGCUCACAGGAAGUGCUCCAAACCCAUGAGAUUAACGAGCUUUGGAAGUGAACUCUGGAAAUGGAUGUGAAGUGUGUGUACCUAAAAGGCUGGAGAAGGAGGGUUGGUGAGGAUUUGGUAACAGGCUGGACAUGGUGAGGGGGUGGAAGAGGGAACGAUUCAUGCAUCACUGAGCUUUCCAGCUUGAAUGGUUGGGUCAGGAAAAAUGUGACGAGGAGCAGUACGGGGUAGAAAGGAAUUAGAAUAGUUCAAUUUUGGACAUGUUGAGUUGAGGUGUGUGGUAGGCAUCUGGACACAUGAGCCUGAAGAGAUGGAAUGUAGCGGGUCUCAGAGGCUCUGAGAGUGGACAAGGGAGCUGCUGGCAGGUUCCUUCAGAAAAGAUUUGUUGAAAAACACUGACCAAGAAAUUGUCUAUAAUUUCCAUACCAGCCUCCAUGAGCUUAUCUGCUGCCUGGUUUCAUCUGUCAUCUAUCAGAAUCUUUCCUUUGUUCUUUAGUUUUUGGCCUUUCCUACUUUUUUCAAUUCCAUGUUGCAUUUUAACAUUGGCCUUUAAAGCUUCAAAAAAAAAAAAAAAUUCCCUGUCAGUACAUAAGGUGGGGAUUUCAGACAGGCAUAAAAGGGGGUGAGUGUUCGGAUUUUCAGAAAGUUUAGAAGUGAGUUCUUAGCACUCAUUAAACCAUAAUCUUUUGGUACAUAAGAGAAUUCUAGAUUGUAUUUUAGCAUAGGUCCCUACAAAUUUCUUCCCAUCCCAAAUGCAUUAGACCUAGUUCACUACUUUGAUGCUAAAUUCAAUGCUUUAUUUUCUUAUGUUUAUUGUCUGCAGAAACACAUUAA